UACGGGGGGGGCAAGCGUUGUUCGGAAUUACUGGGCGUAAAGGGCUUGUAGGUGGCCAACUAAGUCAGACGUGAAAUCCCUCAGCUUAACUGGGGAACUGCGUCUGAUACUGGAUGGCUUGAGUUUGGGAGAGGGAUGCGGAAUUCCCGGUGUAGUGGUGAAAUGCGUAGAUAUCGGGAGGAACACCAGUGGCGAAGGCGACUACCUGGCCUGUUCUUGACGCUGAGGCGCGAAAGCUAGGGGAGCAAACGGG
rnacentral:rRNA from 1 species